rnacentral:lncRNA from 1 species
CAAUUUUCUAGUGGUGUCACUUUCAGAAAUAGGAAAACUGUAGGGUUACAUCUUAGAGCUCUUUUAGAAUGGUUCUACCUGUUAUCCACCUGCCAACACAACUGGUCAGAAGAUUAAAGAAAAAACCAAAAAGCUAAUAGAGGAUUAAAAAUGACCAUGACUGAAAUGAGUUUCUGUUUCCAAGCUGCACUGCUUCAGCACAAUAGUUCAAAGACUGAGGUGUACAAGAGGCGCAUCGUACCUGCUGGUCCCCAGGGGAGAGGAGUUGCCUGUACUGCCAGUGGGAAUCUGGGAGAAAGAGAAGGCACAUUGAAUUAGGCUUCUGCUGUCUCUGUGCCUCAAUAUACUUUGUUCCCAUAAGGGCUGCAACCACAGCCUGGCUGCUUGGAGGAGCAACAGGACUCAGCUCCCCAGUCAGCACAGACUGACAGGCAGCACCUGUGGGACAUGGAACUUUUGAAGGGAAGGAAUGAGCCCGGUGUGCUGGGAGGUGCUGAGGAGAUGUCGUGAGUACUUUUAGGGGUUGUUAGUUGACCACGUCCUAAAGUCAGGUUCUGCGUGUAGAAGGUUGAUGUGUAUUUUGGGGAUUGUGAUGUUCUCUUCAUAGAGAGAAGCUUAUUCUGAACCUGCUAGGGACUAUUGAUUUUCUUGCUUUUGUUAGGGGACUCCCUGAGCCCUUUCUGUUGUCAUUUGGUAGGGCACGCUUGCUCAGUCUUCCCCAUAUUUAUUGUGAGUGGGCAGAGGAAUGGAGCUCUCACUGCUGGUGCAGUGCCACGUACCUUCAGGAGGAAGAGAGAUUGUUUCUGUUUAAGAAGAAGGUAUGGUCUCCCAAGACAGUAACUAGCAGAACUUCCCUUGAACCAAUUUACAGAACACUGCAUGCAAGGUGGCAAGCAGGAGAGAUGUGCCUUCAGCCAGGCAGGAGUCUGCUCUAGACAGCCUGGGUCAACAGAACGCUCUUCCAUCUAGUUUGUUUUACUUAUUUCCCCCUACACCUGGAAGCCAACAUCUUAACAGGUCCAUUUCAAAUACUGGGGGAAAUAAAUAAGCAGAGUAUAUCUGUAAUUUUGUUAUA